CUAAGCGCGAAUAUCUCUCGAGAACGAAAAUCUUUAAAAUUUGCCGGUACUUAAAAUCCAUUGAAAAAAAAACAAAAAAAAACACCUAUUUUCGUUAUAACUUUAAAGUUAUAACUAAUCAUAUUAAAGUCGAUGAUUACCCGUUUGCCGUGCACACACAUACACAACAAGAAUGCUGCCUUAUUUUAUGCAAAGAUGUUCAGAAAACCACUUGCAAUCCAAUUUGAGCCUAUAUAUAACGACAACGAUUUGGUAUAUAUAUAUAUACACAUAUAUUUAUUGACUGAAAAUUCACGGAUGGUGAUUUUGGAGUCUCUUGGAAUGGCGAAUGUAGGUGAAUUAAGGCUGCAGAUCCUCCUCGACCGACAUAGAUCGUGAUCGUUCCUUCGUCUCUCGGAAUUGGGCUGGAAAUGCGAGAGAGAAAGAGAAAGAAAAAAAAGAGAGGUACCCAUUAAGAACCACUGUGGCACCUGACUGCGGUUGCAAUUGAAGUACACAUUGUCGCUCUGGGCUGGUCCGUGGAAGAACAAAAAAAAAAAAAAAAAAAAAAUGUCGGAGAAAUGUGGAUUCGAUCUCGCAUAAUUUAUGAAGAAGUCAAGUGAAAAAGAAAUUUGGUCCAAAAGAACAAGAAAUCUAGGUCUCAAGGAAAUGUGUACAACGAGGGGGAAUUUACUCAGGUAGUCAAGUGUACACUCUUCCUGUAAUACUUGUGUAAUAAUGUGUAAUACCGUGUAAUAAUGCGUUAUUACGGUGCUGUAAUAACGCAAAAAACUCUGUAAUAUCUCUGUAAUAAUGUGUAAUACUCUGUAAUAACGUGUAAUAACUUAGUAAUAAAGGUAAUAUGAGGUGUAAUACCGGUAGUCAAGUGUACACGUUUUUAACUAGUAAAUUCCCCCUCGGUGUACAAUUUCAUAAUUUAUACUGAAUA